UUUACCGUCCAAAAGGACUUCAACAUCAGAAACCAGUAUGACAUGUACAAAAACGACUUGGCCAUACUCAAGCUCAGAGAGGUUACCGAUACCAUGCCCAUAUGUCUUGCUGGUAUUCCUGAGCUGCAACCGACCAUGGAUACAAUUGAGAGGAGCGGCGACUGUUGGUUCAUGGGAAGGGGUUAUCUGGGGAGCCUGCCUUAAAGGAACUCGCCAGUCGGGCAGCUGCUUCAUACGGGACGACGAGGCAGGUCCAUGCAGAUCUCGUUGGAUAUCGAGAUUGCGGCGAGAUGUUGCACACAAAGCUGGAUGAGAGCAUGAUCUGUUUGCAAGAUGGCGAGAACGGUCCGUGUGAGGGCGAUGCUGGCGGUCCCCUGUCUUGUCGGUACAAUGGCGUGUUCUACCUCACUGGAGUCAUGUCUAGGCUGGGUAGGCUGGGUGAGGACUGCGACGUCAGUGUCAACCCAAGUGUCUUCAGGCUUUUCACCUACUACUAUCCUUGGGUGGCGGCCAUAAUACCAUAUUGGUACUAGAGGAAGUCUCCUUGAAGAAUUUUAACGGUUUGGAACAAUCUCAAUUUUGGAUAUUCUACAAGAGAUUCGUUGAUAUCUUUGGGAUUCAAGUCACAUUACAACUAACAACAUCACGAGGUUAAAAUGUUUUAAAACGAUUCA